rnacentral:lncRNA from 1 species
UGAACUACGAAAAUGAUCAAGGAUCCUUCCUUCGGUGCUAAAAGCACUUUUUGAAGCAACAGUUGAAACUUGAUUUGCCAACACAUCCUUAACAAGAUUAGACAAGACACGGUACUUACUUUUGUUAAGCUUCCACCAAUCGAGAAUAUCAAAGUCCUUGUUCUCUAUACUUUCAUGAGCAUCAAGUAAGUAUCUUUCCACAUCAUUUUUUAUUUCCGCACGAUCUUUUACAGCUUGUUUUUUCAAAAAAUCUAGAAAGACGAGCAUCACUCAUAGAAGAAGAACUAUCUUUAUUUGUACUGAAAGAACUCAAAGACUCGUCAGUUGAUACUUAACUACUUCCAUGAACACCUUCAUAUGCCACAUACCACUCAUAAAUAUCCAUGAAAUUUCAAUCAAAGAUUUCAUCAUGUUACUAAUAAUUUCUCCAUCCAUGUAUAGAUUACUAAAAAAAGUAUUCAACAUAAUCCAUUUUAUACCUUGGAUCAAGGAUAGUAGCAAUAAGCAACAACUGAUUCACAUUUUCCAUUUUACCCCAAAACUUUUCGAACUUCUUUUUCAUGUUAGUCGCCAUUUCACCCAAUAAAAAAUUACCACUCAAUCUUCAUUCAUCCAAUUCGAAUACAAGAUUACAAAUUUCAUGAAGAUAAGCACAAGCACUAACAUGCAACGAAAAAUUAAAAGUCAAAGUCACAUCAAAUUCUUUUUUAAAGAAAUUUGACAAAUGCAGAUCCAGUCUUCCAAUCUAAAUUUGAAGGAGGUCCACCUCUCUUUUUACCACCAUCGUCUUCCCAAAAGUAAUGCAAAUAUUGAGCAUCCUCUUUUUCUAACCUAUCAAAAGCUUUCUCAAAUUUCAAUGUUGUUUCGAACAUCAAAUAGGUAGAAUUCCACCUAGUUAGAACAUCCAAAAAUACAAUAGACUUGCAAUCAAUCUUCUCUUUUCUCGCACACUCCUUUAGUUUUUCAUACCUAGCAGGAGAAGAUUUCACAUAUUUGAUUGCAUUGUGGAUAUUCACAAUGGAGUCAUGUACUUCUUUCAACCCCUCACAAACAAUCAAGUUUAUAAUGUGUGCACAACACCUCAAGUGCAAAUAUCUCCCAUCUAGAAUACAUCCAUCACUACCCGAAGCAAUCAACUUCCUCCUAAGAUAAGCAAUAGCCACAUCAUUAGAGCUUGCAUUGUCAACAGUGAUUGUAAAAACUUUCUCAAUUCUCCAAUCUUGCAAACAAGUCUCAAUCAUUUUCCCAAUUGUUUCUCCUUUGUGAUUUGGAACAACACAAAAAAUUCAAAACACGCUUAUUAAGUGUCCAAUCAGAAUCAAUACAAUGUGUUGUAAAAGACAUGUAAUUAACAUUUUGAAUGGAAGUCCAAGUAUCAAUUGUGAGGGAAACCCUUUGACGGUAAAAAGAAAAGACAUCUCUCAAUUUCAGUUUUUCAUCUAAAUACAAUUGAUAGAUGUCUCUAACAAGAGUCCUCCUAGAUGGAGCCUUAAAUUGAGGACAUGCUAUACUACAAAAGAGCUUAAAACCCCGGCCUUCAACAAACCUAAAAGGUAAUUCAUCCAAUACAACCAUCUUAGCACAUGCAACUCUAUAAUCUUCUUUACUUCGACCAAUAGCAACAAGAUUGCUCCUGCCACCCUCUUUUUUUUUUUUCUCAAAAGAAAGGAUUUUUUGCUUCUUAUCCACCAAUCUACUAGGAUACUUCUUACAUUGAUUUGUCAAAUGAUUGCCUAAUGUGCUAGUACCAAACUUCUUAGCGCCACAAGCAUAAUCUACCCCCACAGUAGUUACAUUUACACCUAACAUUUGGAUCAUCCCUUGAUUCCAAAAGUGUAAAGUGAUCCCAAACAUAUGAAGCUAAUCUAUUAAAUUUUCAUUUACCUAAUGUUGACGGUGCACGUGGAGGAAGACUUGCUUGCAAAUCUAUGUCAUUUGAUGGAGAUUCUAUGCCAAUUACUUCACAAUCAUCCAUAUCUACAAACAUAUUCCACCAAAAUUAUAAAACAAUCAAAUAGAUGUAUUUAAUAAAAAUAACAAUGCAAUACAAAAAAUAUAAAAAUCUAUUAAGACAAAUAUAAUACUAUUGUUAGCUAUUUGUUCAGAGGGUCGCUAAAACCAUGGGUUUGGAGCGAAAUCAAAUUACAAAGUUGUUUUGUUUGAAACUUUAUUAAACCAUUUAAAAUAAUUUAAUUAGAAGAAAAUAAAAAUCUGUCUAAGCCGAAUUGCUCUCAAAUCUUGGUCCCAAAUCUUCAAUUCAGUAAUAUAAUAAAUCCAUCUAUAUCUAAGCCCAAUUUUUUGGACCCCUUUUGGCUUUGCCCAUCUAAUCCACCUUUAGUGUUAUACUAAAUUAAUGGUUACAGUAAAUUCUUCUAUGGUAGAAUUAGAGGAUUCUGCAACAAUAUCUCAUCAAACUAAAGAGGCGUGGAAGAAGAUUUCGACUUUACUUUUGAAUACUCGUGGCUAAUUAUUCAAUUUCAUAUCCAUAAAAAUGACGGAAAUUGGUCCCAAAUCUUGAAUUCACGAAUAGAAAAUAAGGAAACUGAAAUAUACAUACUCUACCGACCAGACAGACUACCACUGGAGACUGGAGUGUGACGUUCGACGACCUUGCUCAAUGAAAAUCGGAGUUCGCCGUUGGGAAUUGAGAGAAAAUGACGAGAGAGAGAGACUGAGAGAUUAGGGCUUCUUGAUUUCUUGUCUUGUGGGAAAGUGAUUGCAUGAGAAGUGAGAAUUGAAGCGAGAAGUAGGG